rnacentral:piRNA from 1 species
GUUUGUGUUGUGCGAAAC